UGUUGAGGUUGUUGCGUCAUUAAUUCCAUUUUCUAUAUGUCCAAUGUUUUCUGUAUCAGCUUACUUAAAUGAAACACCCCCAAAGCCAUCACCUUCUCCAGUCUACCUAUUAACAUUUUGCAGCAUUGAUCGAAAGGGAUUAUUAAAUGAUGUGACUCGAUUGCUUUUUGAGCUUGAGGUUAUGAUCCAAAGAGUUAAACUGGCAACAACACCAGAUGGAUGUGUCAUGAACCUAUUCUUUAUUACCGAUAACUUGUGAUGGGAGUUAUUACACACGGAAAAGAGGAGAGAUGAUGCAUACGAUAGAUUGCAUGAUGUGUUGGGCAAAUCAUGUAUAAAUAUGGAUAUUGAAGCUGCUCGAGAAUUAUUCUGGUCAGAAUUAUCAGAAACAGAGGAACAUUCACAAGCUUUGCGUACAGAUGUAAAGUAAAGAAGUUAAAACAAGCCAAUGUCAUAAUUGACAAUUCCUUAAGUGUAGCUCAUUCCCUACUUCAAAUUAAUUGUGUUGAUCACAAAGGUUUUCUCUAUGAUAUCAUGAGAGUGUUAAAAGAUUUUGAUAUAUAGGUUACAAUUUAUAUUCAUUCAUACAUA